AGAUGACCUUCUCCUUGUCCGGGUUCUGGUCCUGAUAGAGCUUCAGGAUAAAGUCUCUGGCAGCUUUGACGUCCCGCUUCGGUCCUGGUUCCGAGCACAGUUAGAGGGAUAAAGAAGAAAGAUGCCACUCACCACCAGGAUUGUUCAGAGUCAGCCCUGGGGCACCCAUUCUAUUGGGUGUGGCCUCAGACUGUGUGUCAGAAGUCGGGGGUCAAUGAGAGGAACACUAGCUCUUCAGUGUUCCCCACAGAGAAGGGGCCCAGCGCAUGCCUCCCAUGCAGGUGGCUCCGGUGUGCUCUGCCCAGGGAGCAGGGUCUCUAAUGUUUGGGUAAGGAUACUUGUUUACAACAUUUAAAUACUUUCCCAAGCCUGGAUAGUAGUAGGACCUGGUGGGAAUUAUGCAGGACAGUAAAAUUUCUGAACAUUAGACAUUGGCAGGAAAAGAGUAACUUCCUGAUUUAUGGAGAGCAGAUUUGUGCUAGAUAGAAAUACUUGAGAGGGAUGUGCCAUAAGUCUGUUUUCCCAGGACUCUCAGAAACAUAGGUUCAUAAUCCUGUUCAAUAUAUUUUAAGGGAUUAAGAUAUGGUGGAAUUUAUUGCCAGAGGAGAAAUCCCUCUUGCUUUUAAAGAUUCUUUAAAAUUUAUUAUGAUCUUAUCAAUAAUAACUUCUAAGGAACUACAACAUAUGAAAACAAUGAUGCCUGUACUAUACAACGAGAGGAUGCAACUCAUGUCUACAACCAGAAGGGAAGAGUCUAGAGUGGCAACCACUUUGUUUUUCUCCAGAUGCCUGUGUUUUUAGGAGAGGGGAAAAUGUUCAGUGUUUUAGCACAUCAGGCUAAAGUUCUUGUUCACUUGACUAAUCUUUUGCUUUUCCUGAGACAAAUUUGGAGCCAAUUUUUCAUAUUGAUUACUCGAGGACUUUCCUUUAAAAAAAAGUUUUUUUUUCUACUGAAGAGCUGAGUGGCAGCCAAGGCUUCUAUUCUUGUUUGCACAAUGACUCUAAGCUAAUUAGUGGAGGAUUAACCCAUUUACUAAUGUAACUGUGCUCCUUAGAGAAAACUCUGCUCUCAAGAAACACAAGAUGAUAUUUGUUCAUGGUUAUUACCUAAUCCUGGAUAGAGUUCUUGACUGAUUUACUUUCAUGCCCUAGAAGCAAGAGGUAGGGGGAAAGACAAUGGGAGGAUAAGGGUAUCCUACGGAGGGCACUGAAAGCCUGACGGGGUGGGUCAUCCCAGCUACCCCAGCUCGCCCCUUCCAGAAGGCCCCCAAACAGCCAGCCCAGCUGGGGACUAGGUGGGGAAGCCUGUUCUCAGGUAAAGUUUACUAGAAGUAACAUUGUUCAACUCUGACUGCACAUUAGCAUUCCUAGGGACUUAGGAAAGACACUUUAACUCCAACCCAGCAAUAGGAACCUCUACUGUGGAGUCCAAAUGAUGAUACUUUUUCAAAACUCCCCGAGGGCUUUCAGUGUGCCUCCAGGGCUGAGAGGCUCCACCGAGGCAGCACAUUCGAUCAGAUGCUCCGCUCAGGCCGCACUCUCCUUCCACAGGGCUUCCGCGAUGGAGUCCCAGUGGCACCCAAGUGUGAGAGCCAGUUUCCAGGUCAGUGAUCCUCAAACUUAUGUGUUUAUGGGCACCACCAGGGACCUUACUAAAAUACAGAUUCUGAUGUAUUUGGUCUACAGUUCUAACAAUAGUGUGUGGACUAGCAUCCAGGUGAUGCCUGCGCUGCUAGUCUACACACUAUACUUUGAGUAGCAUAACAAUUUAACGUCAGGCUUAGAAUCUAAUGGCAGAGCCGGCUGGCUUUUUGCAAACUACAAAAAUAGGUCUCUGUCUUCCACAGCUCCCCAUGCUCCCCACCUGGCAUACCUCAUUGUCACACUCAGCCAGGACCUGGUCGUAUUCACUCAGCGCAACCAAGAAUAUGAUGGAGGUGACGCUCUCAAAGCAAUGGAUCCACUUCCGCCUUUCGGAUCGCUGGCCACCCACGUCUACCAUCCUGUCCAACAGAAACACAGGUCUCAAAGGCUGGAUUCAUGGCUCUGGAGGAGGGCGUGCUCAUUCCACCUUGGAAAUCAGCAGGUCUUGGCUUCCUGCCUGAUCUUCAGGAGUGAAAAAAGGUCCUGAGACUGAAAGGUUUGAGCACCACUGCUUUCAACACUGAGGAACCACCAGACGUUUCCCAGCAAAGGAGGACAGAAUGUCAAACGGAUACUCGAUGAUGCCAGUUGUGGGCACUCGAACACGAAGCACAUCUUGCUGCGUCGGCACAUAGGACGGCAAGGCGAUCCGGUCAAUAUCAGUCAGGUAACUGCAAUAUCAGAGAGCAAGGUGCCGAGACUCAUUUUACAGAAAGGAGGAGUGUCCAUCCCACUCCAAGGAAGUCACCCCGCUCAGAGCAACCCCCACUCAGAUUCCUGGGGCCCAUCAGUGACUCUGAGAGCCAGCCCUCCUGCGGCUGUUUCAGAAGGAAUGUGCAUCAGGAGCCCGCAUGAGCCUUCAGGGAAACCUGUGGAUCGGCUCAUCAAUUCCUUAUGGAUCUGGCUCAUCACUGGCCGGAGAGGAGGAGGUGGAGUCUAACUGCCUGCCUUCCCCUCCCACACUCAUCCUCAGCCAAGAACAUUAUAGACUGCAGAUGCUGCUCUCCGGCACUUUGUGAGUGAACUGGGGUUUCCAAGAAAACACAAAGAGUAAAACAGGCCAACAGGAAGUUCAGGAUAAUAGUGAGAAAAGGUUUUCUUGUUACAUGGGGAAAUUAAAUGUCUAAGAUAAAUCAAAACUUGUCUUGGAUUAUUUUUGCCAUAUAAUCAAAACUUGUCUUGGAUUAUUUUUGCCAUAUAUGAAAUCCCUGAGCUUAAAAUAUAUCAUUUUUCUGAGGUAAAAUAAGAGGGCACUUAAACAUUUUUUUAAGCCUUAAAAAAAGGCAUUUUUUAGUAAAACAACUAACUCAGGCCCUGGUCAAUGACAGAGCUGAUUCCGAGCCCAGCAGCCUACUGCAAACUACUCUGUGUCCCAAUACAUGACCCCAAGGCUAAUCGUCUCUAACUUCCAUAUUGUGCUUCUUUUUUACUUAUAUCUGUCUUGUUCCACCAGAAGCAAGACAGCUGUAAGUAAUGUUCCUUGACAUCAGAGAGCACUGGUUGUACCUGCCACUGUCACCAAAGCGCCAGGGCUGUGGCGGGCACACCUCAUUUUUUCCAUACCUGUCCACAUAAGCAGACGUGACCAGCAGAGCAGACGGCAACUGCUGACCUGGACCAAGAAAAUGUAUAGAUGUCUCUAGUCUCCCCAGUUCCAAAGGCAGGGCAGCUGUCUGCUGCAGCUCUGUCCACCAAGCUAGUCACUUUCAAAACUCUUCUCAUACUUGCUGCCUAAGAUUUCAGAGACCCAUUGAAUUUCAUGGUGCCUCCAAUGGGUCUUUUCAAAAUGGAUCCACAUCAAGAGCCUGAGUGCCUCCCCAGGGUCUUCCCUGAGCAAGUGAUGCUAGACUCUCUCCAGGGAGAUGCCGGGAUGCUGUGGCCAACCAGGCUGUUGCUGUGACCCACAGUCUGCCCUCUUCUUUGGGAUACUGUCUCCCUUCCUUUUGCCUCUCUUCAAGUCCCAACACCUUAGUGGGACUUCUUGUAUUUCCUUUCCUGCUUUGUACCUAAAAGUUCCUGAGCUCAGAUCAGUUGUGUGAACCUGGAUUAAUGGAUUAAACAUUCAGCCCAGGAUCAACCCUAAAGAUUUUAGGGUAUUGGGACCUUGGUCUACUGAUCAGGAAAUCUGAAGGCAAAGAGGUAUGGAGAGGAGGAAGGUAGAAGGUAGAAGCAGAUGCAGUCCUCAUCUAAGUCAGAUCAUUUCAGCACCCCAAAUGAGAUCAGUUCCACCAAGGGAACACCACACUUGCUUUUGCCUCAUUGAAAAGUACAGAGGCUCAGGACAUGGCUGGGACAGGUGGGUCUGGGCAAGGAGAGAAAUCUGGGAUCCAUGGGGAGACUGAGGUUUUAGGUGGGAGGAGACUCCCCAGAGGAAGCUUCUGUGAGGUGCAUGCAGCAUGCUUCCCUGAGUGUUGGGGGCAGCCCGUCUGUACUCACUAUUU